AUUGAACGCUGGCGGCAGGCCUAACACAUGCAAGUCGAACGAGCGGCGGACGGGUGAGUAAUGUAUGGGGAACUGCCUGAUGGAGGGGGAUAACUACUGGAAACGGUAGCUAAUACCGCAUACUAUCAGAUGAGCCCAGAUGGGAUUAGCUUGUAGGUGGGGUAAAGGCUCACCUAGGCGACGAUCCCUCGCUGGUCUGAGAGGAUGACCAGCCACACUGGAACUGAGACACGGCCCAGACUCCUACGGGAGGCAGCAGUGGGGAAUAUUGCACAAUGGGCGCAAGCCUGAUGCAGCCAUGCCGCGUGUAUGAAGAAGGCCUUCGGGUUGUAAAGUACUUUCAGCGGGGAGGCGUUACCCGCAGAAGAAGCACCGGCUAACUCCGUGCCAGCAGCCGCGGUAAUUC
rnacentral:rRNA from 1 species